rnacentral:rRNA from 1 species
AGAGUUUGAUCAUGGCUCAGAACGAACGCUGGCGGCAUGCCUAACACAUGCAAGUCGAACGCACCGCAAGGUGAGUGGCGCACGGGUGAGUAACGCGUGGGAACCUGCCCUGGAGUGGGGGAUAACCCGGCGAAAGCCGGGCUAAUACCGCAUACGUCCUGAGGGAGAAAGAUUUAUCGCUCUAGGAGGGGCCCGCGUCGGAUUAGCUAGUUGGUGAGGUAACGGCUCACCAAGGCGACGAUCCGUAGCUGGUCUGAGAGGAUGAUCAGCCACACUGGGACUGAGACACGGCCCAGACUCCUACGGGAGGCAGCAGUGGGGAAUAUUGGACAAUGGGGGAAACCCUGAUCCAGCAAUGCCGCGUGAGUGAUGAAGGCCUUAGAGUUGUAAAGCUCUUUCGGCGGGGACGAUGAUGACGGUACCCGCAGAAGAAGCCCCGGCUAACUUCGUGCCAGCAGCCGCGGUAAUACGAAGGGGGCAAGCGUUGUUCGGAAUUACUGGGCGUAAAGGGCGCGCAGGCGGCCGACGUAGUCAGGCGUGAAAGCCCCGGGCUUAACCUGGGAAUUGCGUUUGAUACUGGUUGGCUAGAGUUCGGGAGAGGAUGGUGGAAUUCCCAGUGUAGAGGUGAAAUUCGUAGAUAUUGGGAAGAACACCGGUGGCGAAGGCGGCCUCUGGACCGAAACUGACGCUGAGGCGCGAAAGCGUGGGGAGCAAACAGGAUUAGAUACCCCCGUAGUCC